rnacentral:lncRNA from 14 species
GAAAGGUCCUAAGUGGUCAUAUAUUUCAGGAAGACUCCAGCAAAAUUAGUACUGGACAUAUAUAUCAGGUCUCAGAGUCACUACUACAAUUCCCAUAUCCACUGUCUGGACCUUUUGAUUGAAAGUACAGAUUUAAAGAAGCAUUACUCUGUAGGAAGCUUGGCAAGACAGGGAAAUUAUUAGUGCUUUUAGGAUAAACCUAUAUUCAUAUCCCUAUUCAUAGGGCUAGUAAUGACUAAAUCAUAGGAGACAAGGAUUCAAAGGUGUCCAAAGACAACAGAGUUCAUCUUCCUGUCCGGAACAAAGGAACAACACCACCUGCAUUCAGGAGGGAUGGACCUCUGUGAUUGCACACGUGUGGAGUGGGAGAGCCAUGGAGACCAUCGCCUUUGUUGACUUCUGUCACACAGAAAUACAGCACUGCUGGCAUCAGAGGAGGUUCUCCAGAUGAUUCCCCUACCAGCAAUGGUCAGCGAUGUGGCCACCAGUUACGUGCUGCGUGGCUGAGGACUGUAGGCUGCUCCUUGAGACACUCCUGGGCACUGCUGGGUUUUAACCUCCAGGGUGUUUUCCAUCUUUGCCUCACCUCUCCCCUGCCAUUGCUCCCUGCAGCACAUUUGUGAGUUCACGGCACAGUUAAAGGGUUGAAAUGACCCCAGGUGAUGGGGAGUGGGGAACUGGUGCGGCCUCUCAGGAGUGAAAUAUGGCUUUGUGUCUGCAAAGAGGUUAAAGCUGCUCCCCAGCAAGAGCAACG